rnacentral:tRNA from 12 species
GCCGGAAUAGCUCAGUUGGUAGAGCAGAGGACUG